rnacentral:lncRNA from 10 species
GCUGAUAAAGACAUACCUGAGACUGGGCAAUUUACAAAAGAAAGAGAUUUCUUGGACUUACAGUUCCACAUGGCCGGGGAGGCCUCACGAUCAUGGCAGAAGGCAAGGAGGAGCAAGUCACAUCUUAUGUGGAUGGCAGCAGGCAAAGAGAGAGCGAGCUUGUGCAAGGAGACUCCCAUUUUUAAAACCAUCAGAUCUCGUGAGACUUAUUCACUAUCAGGAGAACAGCAAGCUAAAUCAGUGUGAGACCAAGGACCCUGGGGCUCCUCCAGUCAUUGCAGCUGUAUCACAACUACCCUGACAGAUUUCUUGCUCAGGGCAAGCCACCUGCCAUGUCUUGAGAACACUCAAGCAGCACAUGGCGAGGAAUGGAGAUGGACAGACAUGGGCCAGCAAGAAACAGGCUUGCCAACAACAGCUUGCGUGAUCCUGAAAGCCCCGUUGACUGGAGGAUGGCCAUUUGACAACACAUUAUUUCCUGAGGAAACUUUUGACUUCUGGUGACUUGGGCCCCAGGCAAGUAUGUGCCAAUCA